rnacentral:lncRNA from 1 species
GUGCAAGGUCAAGGGUCUGCUUUUGGUCAAUGACUGCUGUCUGACAGAGUCCCGAGCGACAUGGAUGGCACUGAAGUAUCCAAAUUCAUUACAAUGGUGCAUGGAAAACCAGAUUUGCAAGUUUUGGAGGAGGUUGAAAGUGAAUCAUCAGGUGACUCAUGCAUUGAUGAUGAUGAUGAUGAUGAUAAUUGAUGUUGGCCGUGUGAGCCAAAGUUCCUGUGAUGCUGAAAUGGAGCAAGAAUUGACUGAUAUAGACACAAGGAAUAAAGACCUCCCUGAUUCAGAUGAUGAAGAAAACAGCAAUCUUAGUACAUGUAUGACUAGUCCAAAUGGUACAAAAUGGUCAUGAAACCAAAUGAAAUGAUCCAAUGUUAGAACUAGGUCCAAAAAUAUAGUGAGGAUCUUGGCAGGGUGAAUCCAAUUGGAUGGAAUGUCAGCACUACCAUUCAAUGUUGGAAAUUAUUUGUAAGAGAAAAAAUGCUACAAGAUGUUGUGAAAUUCACAAAUGAUGAAAUACAAGUAAAAAGUUCUUUAUGCAUUGAUAACCAUACUAAAAAAUGUGUUUAUUGUGACCUCUUACUAGCUGAACUGAAAGCAUUCUCUUACUUUCUGAACUGAAAGCAUUCAUAGGUCUGCUGUACUUAGCAGGGCUUUCUCAUGAUAAUUGCAGGAAUUUAAAAGCUUUAUGGAGAAGUGAUGAGUGU